GGAUGACACAGUAGGAUAAGCUAAGCACACUGUUGGUUAUGUGUGCCCAAGCAUUGAGGCAGUCAAAGUAGGCAAAUCCGCUUUGAUAAUGCUGGGAUGUGAUGGGGAGCGAAAUUUAGUAGCGAAGUAGCUGAUUUCACACUGUCAAGAAAAGUCUCUAUCGAGGUUAAAGGUACCCGUACCGCAAACCGACACAGGUGGGUGAGGAGAGUAUCCUAAGGCCAGCGAGAGAACUGUUGUUAAGGAACUCGGCAAAAUGACCCCGUAACUUAGGGAUAAGGGGUGCCACCAUCAGGUGGCCGCAGAGAAUAGGCCCAAGCGACUGUUUACCAAAAACAUAGGUUCUGCUAAGUCGCAAGACGAUGUAUAGGAGCUGACGCCUGCCCGGUGCUGGAAGGUUAAGGGGAUCUGUUAGAGCAAUCGAAGCAGUGAACUUAAGCCCCAGUAAACGGCGGCCGUAACUAUAACGGUCCUAAGGUAGCGAAAUUCCUUGUCGGGUAAGUUCCGACCCGCACGAAAGGCGUAACGAUUUGGGCACUGUCUCAACAACAGACUCGGUGAAAUUGUAAUUCCGGUGAAGAUGCCGGAUACCUGCGACAGGACGGAAAGACCCCAUGGAGCUUUACUGUAGCUUGACAUUGGGUCUUGGUACUACAUGUACAGGAUAGGUGGGAGGCUUUGAAACCAGGACGCCAGUUUUGGCGGAGCCAUCCUUGGGAUACCACCCUUGUAGUACUGGGACUCUAACCAUAGGCCAUGAAUCUGGUCUUGGGACACUGUCAGGUGGGCAGUUUGACUGGGGCGGUCGCCUCCCAAAAGGUAACGGAGGCGCUCAAAGGUUCUCUCAGUACGGUCGGAAAUCGUACGUAGAGUGUAAAGGCAAAAGAGAGCUUGAUUGCAAGACAUACAGGUCGAGCAAGGAUGAAAAUCGGACUUAGUGAUCCGGUGGUUCUGCGUGGAAGGGCCAUCGCUCAACGGAUAAAAGCUACCCUGGGGAUAACAGGCUUAUCUCCCCCAAGAGUCCACAUCGACGGGGAGGUUUGGCACCUCGAUGUCGGCUCAUCACAUCCUGGGGCUGUAGUAGGUCCCAAGGGUUGGGCUGUUCGCCCAUUAAAGUGGUACGCGAGCUGGGUUCAGAACGUCGUGAGACAGUUCGGUCCCUAUCCGUCGCAGGCGUAGGAAAUUUGAGAAGACCUGUCCUUAGUACGAGAGGACCGGGAUGGACGUACCUCUGGUGUACCAGUUGUUCUGCCAAGGGCAUGGCUGGGUAGCUAUGUACGGAAUGGAUAAGCGCUGAAAGCAUCUAAGCGCGAAGCCAACUUCAAGAUAAGAUUUCCCACCGCAAGGGUAAGACCCCAGAAAGACUAUCUGGUUGAUAGGUCGAAGGUGUAAGUGCAGCAAUGUAUUUAGCUUAUCGAUACUAAUAGGUCGAGGACUUGACCAA
rnacentral:rRNA from 1 species